rnacentral:rRNA from 1 species
CAGGUCUGUGAUGCCCUUAGAUGUCCGGGGCCACACGUGCGCUACAAUGACGGUGCCAGCGAGUCUCAGGUCUGUGAUGCCCUUAGAUGUCCGGGGCCACACGUGCGCUACAAUGACGGUGCCAGCGAGUCUGGGAACCUGGCCCGAAAGGGUUGGGCAAACUGUUUCAUCACCGUCGUGACUGGGAUCGGGGCUUGCAAUUAUUCCCCGUGAACGAGGAAUUCCURGUAAGYGCRAGUCAUMAGCUYGCGYUGAYUACGUCCCUGYCCUUUGUACACACCGCCCGUCGCUMCUACCGAUUGAAUGGUUUAGUGAGG